rnacentral:rRNA from 1 species
GACGAACGCUGGCGGCGUGCUUAACACAUGCAAGUCGAACGGAAAGGCCCUGCUUUUGUGGGGUGCUCGAGUGGCGAACGGGUGAGUAACACGUGAGUAGCCUGCCCUUGACUUUGGGAGAACUUCAGGAAACUGGGGCUAAUACCGGAUAGGAGCUCCUGCUGCCUGGUGGGGGUUGGAAAGUUUCGGCGGUUGGGGAUGGACUCGCGGCUUAUCAGCUUGUUGGUGGGGUAGUGGCUUACCAAGGCUGUGACGGGUAGCCGGCCUGAGAGGGUGACCGGCCACAUUAGGACUGAGAUACGGCCCAGACUCCUACGGGAGGCAGCAGUGGGGAGUAUUGCACAAUGGGCGGAAGCCUAAGGCAGCAACGCCGCGUGCGGGAUGACGGCCUUCGGGUUGUAAACCGCUUUCGCCUGUGACGAAGCGUGAGUGACGGUAAUGGGUAAAGAAGCACCGGCUAACUACGUG